GUAUGAUAAAUCCUUUAAUUUGCUUUGUCUCCAAGUGUGACUUCCAGAGAUGUGUUUAAAUGAUCCUUAAAGAGCCCAAAAUGGGGACAUAUGAAUAUUAUUCAGCCAUGAAAAGAAUAAAAUUCUGUCAUUUGUAACACCAUGGAUGGAACUUGAGAACAUUAUGUGACCUCAAAACCAGCCAGCCACAGAAAGAAAAAUCUUGCUUGUGGGAGCUAAAUAUUAAAAGUUAUCAGUCUUGUGAGGACAGAGAGUAGAAGGAUGGUUACCAGAGGCUGAAAAGGAUCUGAAAGACCGCCCCGGAGAUCUCAGGGCGGAAGCACCUGCAGAGAGAGCGACCCUGGUGCCGCUGCGGCCAGAGCGGAGAGGAUGGGCAGACCACACCAGGAGCCGGGAAGCUCCUCUGGAACCCAGAGGCUUGAAGGAGACGCCCGUUCCAGGCUUGGAGCUGCCUCUGGCAGGGGCUCAGCGGAGAGUCGCCCCGGGAGUCGGAGCCAGUGAGGAGGUGGGAUGGAGGAGGCGGUAAGGGGUGAGGGGGUAGGAAGGAUAAAGCGGGGAAGAAGGGGGUGUGAAGGAGGAGAGGGAAGACACAGCGCGAGAUGGAGAAGGGGGGCGGAGGGGAGGAAGAAGCCAGAGAUGGAGGAGGGGG